GACGAACCGUCCGAACUUAUUCGGAAUCACUGGGCUUAAAGGGUGCGUAGGCGGCGCGGAAAGUUGGGUGUGAAAUCCCUCGCUUAACCGAGGAACGGCGCCCAAAACUACCGUGCUCGAGGGAGAUAGAGGUGAGCGGAACUUAGGGUGGAGCGGUGAAAUGCGUUGAUAUCCUAAGGAACACCGGUGGCGAAAGCGGCUCACUGGAUCUCUUCUGACGCUGAUGCACGAAAGCUAGGGUAGCGAACGGG
rnacentral:rRNA from 1 species